rnacentral:rRNA from 1 species
CCCGUCCACCGAUUGACUAAGGUUUCCAGAGGAAGGCUCGUCCGCUCUGGGUUAGUCGGGUCCUAAGCUGAGGCCGACAGGCGUAGGCGAUGGAUAACAGGUUGAUAUUCCUGUACCACCUAUAAUCGUUUUAAUCGAUGGGGGGACGCAGUAGGAUAGGCGAAGCGUGCGAUUGGAUUGCACGUCUAAGCAGUAAGGCUGAGUAUUAGGCAAAUCCGGUACUCGUUAAGGCUGAGCUGUGAUGGGGAGAAGACAUUGUGUCUUCGAGUCGUUGAUUUCACACUGCCGAGAAAAGCCUCUAGAUAGAAAAUAGGUGCCCGUACCGCAAACCGACACAGGUAGUCAAGAUGAGAAUUCUAAGGUGAGCGAGCGAACUCUCGUUAAGGAACUCGGCAAAAUGACCCCGUAACUUCGGGAGAAGGGGUGCUCUUUAGGGUUAACGCCCAGAAGAGCCGCAGUGAAUAGGCCCAAGCGACUGUUUAUCAAAAACACAGGUCUCUGCUAAACCGUAAGGUGAUGUAUAGGGGCUGACGCCUGCCCGGUGCUGGAAGGUUAAGAGGAGUGGUUAGCUUCUGCGAAGCUACGAAUCGAAGCCCCAGUAAACGGCGGCCGUAACUAUAACGGUCCUAAGGUAGCGAAAUUCCUUGUCGGGUAAGUUCCGACCCGCACGAAAGGCGUAACGAUUUGGGCACUGUCUCAACGAGAGACUCGGUGAAAUCAUAGUACCUGUGAAGAUGCAGGUUACCCGCGACAGGACGGAAAGACCCCGUGGAGCUUUACUGUAGCCUGAUAUUGAAAUUCGGCACAGCUUGUACAGGAUAGGUAGGAGCCUUUGAAACGUGAGCGCUAGCUUACGUGGAGGCGCUGGUGGGAUACUACCCUAGCUGUGUUGGCUUUCUAACCCGCACCACUUAUCGUGGUGGGAGACAGUGUCAGGCGGGCAGUUUGACUGGGGCGGUCGCCUCCUAAAAGGUAACGGAGGCGCUCAAAGGUUCCCUCAGAAUGGUUGGAAAUCAUUCAUAGAGUGUAAAGGCAUAAGGGAGCUUGACUGCGAGACCUACAAGUCGAGCAGGGUCGAAAGACGGACUUAGUGAUCCGGUGGUUCCGCAUGGAAGGGCCAUCGCUCAACGGAUAAAAGCUACCCCGGGGAUAACAGGCUUAUCUCCCCCAAGAGUUCACAUCGACGGGGAGGUUUGGCACCUCGAUGUCGGCUCAUCGCAUCCUGGGGCUGUAGUCGGUCCCAAGGGUUGGGCUGUUCGCCCAUUAAAGCGGUACGCGAGCUGGGUUCAGAACGUCGUGAGACAGUUCGGUCCCUAUCCGUCGUGGGCGUAGGAAAUUUGAGAGGAGCUGUCCUUAGUACGAGAGGACCGGGAUGGACAUACCUCUGGUGUACCAGUUGUCGUGCCAACGGCAUAGCUGGGUAGCUAUGUGUGGACGGGAUAAGUGCUGAAAGCAUCUAAGCAUGAAGCCCCCCUCAAGAUGAGAUUUCCCAACUUCGGUUAUAAGAUCCCUCAAAGAUGAUGAGGUUAAUAGGUUCGAGGUGGAAGCAUGGUGACAUGUGGAGCUGACGAAUACUAAUCGAUCGAAGACUUAAUCAAAA